AGUCACUGACAUUAGAUACCCCUGUAGUCCAGGGUGUAAACGCUGCAGACUUUGGUGUUGGAGGCCCUUUGGGGCAUUCAGUGCCGGAGAGAAGUUGUUAAGUCUGCUACUUGGGAGUACGUCCGCAAGGAUGAAACUUAAAGGAAUUGGCGGGGGAGCACCGCAACGGGAGGAGCGUGCGGUUUAAUUGGAUUCAACACCGUAAACUCACCAGGGAAGACUGUUACAUGAAGGCCGAGAUGAAGACUCUGCUAGAUUUUCAG
rnacentral:rRNA from 1 species